rnacentral:rRNA from 1 species
GACCCAGACUCCUACGGGAGGCAGCAGUGGGGAAUAUUGCACAAUGGGGGAAACCCUGAUGCAGCGACGCCGCGUGGGCGAGGAAGUACCUCGGUAUGUAAAGCCCUAUCAGCAGGGAAGAAACAGGACAGUACCUGACUAAGAAGCCCCGGCUAACUACGUGCCAGCAGCCGCGGUAAUACGUAGGGGGCAAGCGUUAUCCGGAUUCACUGGGCGUAAAGGGAGCGCAGGCGGCAUGGCAAGUCUGAUGUGAAAACCCGGGGCCCAACCCCGGGAGUGCAUUGGAAACUGUGCAGCUAGAGUGCAGGAGAGGUAAGUGGAAUUCCUAGUGUAGCGGUGAAAUGCGUAGAUAUUAGGAGGAACACCAGUGGCGAAGGCGGCUUACUGGACUGUAACUGACGUUGAGGCUCGAAAGCGUGGGGAGCAAACAGGAUUAGAUACCCGGGUAGA